GCCCAGAUAGUUUAGAAAAACAUCGGUCUUGUAAGCCGAAGCCGAAGCCUAAUGCCUUCUCUGAGCA
rnacentral:tRNA from 1 species